rnacentral:rRNA from 1 species
GACGAACGCUGGCGGCGUGCUUAACACAUGCAAGUCGAACGGAAAGGCCCUGCUUUUGUGGGGUGCUCGAGUGGCGAACGGGUGAGUAACACGUGAGUAACCUGCCCUUGACUUUGGGAUAACUUCAGGAAACUGGGGCUAAUACCGGAUAGGAGCUCCUGCUGCAUGGUGGGGGUUGGAAAGUUUCGGCGGUUGGGGAUGGACUCGCGGCUUAUCAGCUUGUUGGUGGGGUAGUGGCUUACCAAGGCUUUGACGGGUAGCCGGGCUGAGUGGGUGUCCGGCCACAUUAAGACUAAGAUACGGCCCAGACUAAUACGGGAGGCAGCAGUGAGGAUGAUUGCACGAAGAGCGGAAGCCAGAUGGAGCAUCGCCGCGUGCAGGAUAACGGCCUACGGGUUUGGUUGCUCUUUCGCCUGUGACGAAGCGAGGGUGACGGUAAUGGGUAAAGAAGCACCGGCUAACUACGUG